CACGUAGGGGGCUAGCGUUGUCCGGAAUUAUUGGGCGUAAAGAGCUCGUAGGCGGUCUGUCGCGUCUGCUGUGAAAACCUGGGGCUUAACCCCGGGCCUGCAGUGGGUACGGGCAGACUAGAGUGUGGUAGGGGAGACUGGAAUUCCUGGUGUAGCGGUGAAAUGCGCAGAUAUCAGGAGGAACACCGGUGGCGAAGGCGGGUCUCUGGGCCAUAACUGACGCUGAGGAGCGAAAGCGUGGGGAGCGAACCGG
rnacentral:rRNA from 1 species